rnacentral:rRNA from 1 species
UAGGGAAUCUUCGGCAAUGGACGGAAGUCUGACCGAGCAACGCCGCGUGAGUGAAGAAGGUUUUCGGAUCGUAAAGCUCUGUUGUAAGAGAAGAACGAGUGUGAGAGUGGAAAGUUCACACUGUGACGGUAUCUUACCAGAAAGGGACGGCUAACUACGUGCCAGCAGCCGCGGUAAUACGUAGGUCCCGAGCGUUGUCCGGAUUUAUUGGGCGUAAAGCGAGCGCAGGCGGUUAGAUAAGUCUGAAGUUAAAGGCUGUGGCUUAACCAUAGUACGCUUUGGAAACUGUUUAACUUGAGUGCAAGAGGGGAGAGUGAAUUCCAUGUGUAGCGGUGAAAUGCGUAGAUAUAUGGAGGAACACCGGUGGCGAAAGCGGCUCUCUGGCUUGUAACUGACGCUGAGGCUCGAAAGCGUGGGGAGCAAACAGGAUUAGAUACCCUGGUAGUCCACGCCGUAAACGAUGAGUGCUAGGUGUUAGACCCUUUCCGGGGUUUAGUGCCGCAGCUAACGCAUUAAGCACUCCGCCUGGGGAGUACGACCGCAAGGUUG